GGACCCGUAGCUCAGCCAGGAUAGAGCACCAGUCUCCGGAACUGGAGGUCCCGGGUUCAAAUCCCGGCGGGUCCG
rnacentral:tRNA from 1 species